rnacentral:piRNA from 1 species
GCCGUGAUCGUAUAGUGGUUA